UGGGGAAUCUUCCGCAAUGGACGAAAGUCUGACGGAGCAACGCCGCGUGAGUGAUGACGGUCUUCGGAUUGUAAAGCUCUGUUAAUCGGGACGAAUGGUUUGUGUGCAAAUAGUGCAUAGACAUGACGGUACCGGAAUAGAAAGCCACGGCUAACUACGUGCCAGCAGCCGCGGUAAUACGUAGGUGGCAAGCGUUGUCCGGAAUUAUUGGGCGUAAAGCGCGCGCAGGCGGACUAGCCAGUCAGUCUUAAAAGUUCGGGGCUUAACCCCGUGAUGAGUUUGAAACUACUAGUCUAGAGUAUCGGUGAGGAAAGUGGAAUUCCUAGUGUAGCGGUGAAAUGCGUAGAUAUUAGGAAGAACACCAGUGGCGAAGGCGACUUUCUGGACGAACACAGACGCAGAGGAGCGAAAGCCAGGGGAGCGAACGGG
rnacentral:rRNA from 1 species